rnacentral:rRNA from 1 species
UGGGGAAUCUUGGACAAUGGGCGCAAGCCUGAUCCAGCCAUGCCGCGUGGAUGAUGAAGGCCUUAGGGUUGUAAAAUCCUUUCGUGGGGGACGAUAAUGACGGUACCCCAAGAAGAAGCUCCGGCUAACUUCGUGCCAGCAGCCGCGGUAAUACGAAGGGGGCUAGCGUUGUUCGGAUUUACUGGGCGUAAAGCGCGUGUAGGCGGGUCGUUAAGUUGGGGGUGAAAUCCCGAGGCUCAACCUCGGAACUGCCUUCAAAACUGGCGACCUGGACUCAAGCAGAGGCAAGUGGAAUUGCGAGUGUAGAGGUGAAAUUCGUAGAUAUUCGCAGGAACACCAGUGGCGAAGGCGACUUGCUGGGCUUGUAGUGACGCUGAGACGCGAAAGCGUGGGGAGCAAACAGGAUUAGAUACCCAUGUAGUCCCUGAGCGGGCUGGCAAGGCGCAU